GGAGACACCACACAAGCAAGAGAGAGUCUUGCAGGUAGAUAGGAGGGGGGAGAAGGCAUACUUUGGGGAGAGAGAAGGGACCAGGUCCAGAAGUUUCUCAAGAGGCUAACUGCUGCACAUAGAAUUAUUCUCCCUCACUGACUCCAUCCCUCCCCAAGGGUCCCAGGAGACCAAGAAGCAAAGCUUCUAGAAAGUGUAAGAUACACUGGAAGACUAGAAUUCUGAAGCUCCAGAGACUCCCAGCUUGGUCUAAGAGUCAGGAAAGCAUGUCUGUCUGCUGAUCCACAUAGAAGGUCUUCCCUUCGCCAGGACAGCAGGAUGCCACCUAAAACCAAAGGAAAGGGGAGAAAAGCUGCCACACGGAAGAAGAAAAAGAAUUCAAGUCCUGGUGUGGAGGCUGAGGCCAAGCACAGGCUGGUGCUGCUAGAGAAGGAGCUGCUUCAGGACCACUUAGGUAAGAAGAGUGGAGCCUCAGGAGACAGCAGAGAUGAUGUCCUAAUCAGGGUUAUCCUCCUGCUGUGAGGAAACAUCACGACCAAAGCAACUUGGGAAGGAGAUGGUUUAUCUGGCUUGUGCUUCCAAAGCAGUUUAUUAUUGAAGGAAGUCAGGCCAGGAACCCAAACAGGGCAGGAACCUGGAGGCAGGAGCUGAUGCAGAGGCCAUGGAGGGAUGCUGCUCACUGGCUUGCUCCCCGUGGUUUGCUCAGCCUGCUUUCUUAUAGAACCCGGGACCACCAGCCCAGGGGCAGCACCACCCAUAGUGGGCUGGACCCUCCCCAUCGAUCACUCAUUAAGACAAUACCCCAUAGGCUUGUCUACAGCCAGGUCUUAGAGAAGCA
rnacentral:lncRNA from 1 species